rnacentral:rRNA from 1 species
UGCAAGUCGAACGGCAGCACGAAAGAGCUUGCUCUUUUGGUGGCGAGUGGCGAACGGGUGAGUAACGCGUAGGGAUCUACCCCAAAGCGGGGGACAACCCGAGGAAACUCGGGCUAAUACCGCAUAAACUCUAAGGAGUAAAGAGUGCCUCUUCAUGAAAGCACUCACUUUGGGAUGAACCUGCGUCCGAUUAGCUAGUUGGUAGGGUAAAAGCCUACCAAGGCGACGAUCGGUAGCUGUUCUGAGAGGAAGAUCAGCCACACUGGGACUGAGACACGGCCCAGACUCCUACGGGAGGCAGCAGUGGGGAAUAUUGGACAAUGGGGGCAACCCUGAUCCAGCAAUGCCGCGUGUGUGAAGAAGGCCUGAGGGUUGUAAAGCACUUUCAAUGGGGAGGAAGGGUUUUGCGUUAAUAGCGUAAAACAUUGACGUUACCCAUAGAAGAAGCACCGGCUAACUCUGUGCCAGCAGCCGCGGUAAUACAGAGGGUGCAAGCGUUAAUCAGAAUUACUGGGCGUAAAGGGUGCGUAGGUGGAUAAUCAAGUUGGAUGUGAAAGCCCUGGGCUCAACCUGGGACGGUCAUUCAAUACUGGUUUUCUAGAGUACAGUAGAGGAUAGUGGAAUUUUCGGUGUAGCGGUGAAAUGCGUA